AUUGAACGCUGGCGGCAGGCCUAACACAUGCAAGUCGAGCGGAGCGGCGGACGGGUAAGUAUUGCCUAGGAAUCUGCCUGGUAGUGGGGGAUGACGUUCGGAAACGGGAGCUAAUACUGCAUACUCUCAGCUGAGCCUAGGUCGGAGUAGCUAGUUGGUGGGGUAAAGGCUUACCAAGGCGACGAUCCGUAACUGGUCUGAGAGGAUGAUCAGUCACACUGGAACUGAGACACGGUCCAGACUCCUCCGGGAGGCAGCAGUGGGGAAUAUUGGACAAUGGGCGAAAGCCUGAUGCAGCCAUGCCGCGUGUGUGAAGAAGGUCUUCGGGUUGUAAAGUACUUUAAGUUGGGAGGCGUUACCAACAGAAUAAGCACCGGCUAACUCCGUGCCAGCAGCCGCGGUAAUAC
rnacentral:rRNA from 1 species